CCUACGGGAGGCAGCAGUGAGGAAUAUUGGUCAAUGGGCGCGAGCCUGAACCAGCCAAGUAGCGUGAAGGAUGACUGCCCUACGGGUUGUACACUUCUUUUAUAAAGGAAUAAAGUGAGGCACGUGUGCCUUUUUGUAUGUCCUUUAUGAAUAAGGAUCGGCUAACUCCGUGCCAGCAGCCGCGGUAAUACGGCGGAUCCGAGCGUUAUCCGGAUUUAUUGGGUUUAAAGGGAGGGUAGGUGGGUUGUAAAUUCAGUUGUGAAAGUUUGCGGCUCAACCGUAAAAUUGCAAUUGAUACUGGCAGUCUUGAGUACAGUUGAGGUAGGCGGAAUUCGUGGUGUAGCGGUGAAAUGCUUAGAUAUCACGAAGAACUCCGAUUGCGAAGGCAGAUUACUAAACUGCCACUGACAUUGAUGCUCGAAAGUGUGGGUAUCAAACAGGAUUAGAUACCCUUGUAGUC
rnacentral:rRNA from 1 species